UGGGAGGCAUACCUGUCUGUAAUGUGAGCCAGUGUACUACAUGGAUCUCACCUUUGGCCAUUGAGAGAGAAGUGGAGGAGUUAAUCAUGGAAACAAUCAACUGUUCAACUUCUAAGACUGAAACAAUGUCAGGAUGUGAUACUGAGGAGUGAAGCAACAUGAGAGAAAGGCAAGAUGAUGAUGACAACGCAUCCUCCCCUAAUGGACCCUGCUGAGACAGGGAUUUUGGCUGCAAGGGAGACUUUACAGGCUUUGGGUAUAACCACAACAGGAACUGACACUCGCCCGAUGGCUACAUCAAAUCUUUUUAAGGCAAUGGAAGCUGAACGCUGCCCGAGAGGGCUCCCCUGGCUGACAGACUUCACCCCCUUCUUUCACUAAGCCUUAAAUAAUGAAAUCUUCUGGCAAAACAAAGCAGUUUAGAGAUGUACGGCAUUCUUUAUUUCCUCUUUACCGAGAAGGCAUUUCAUCAGGCAACUUUCUGGGGAAACUGAUUUAAUUAUACAAAUGUAAGAUGCUACUUACCACUUGAUACCUCUCUAGCCUUUAUACAUAAAGUCAGACUCGAAGUAGGGAAAUAACUGGAGCAGACGCGUGCAUGUGUAGUGCCCUGUUUUCCACGGCUAGUCAGUGAUGACAGCAAUGUGGUGGUGUUUCGCACAGCAGCUCCUGCAGAGUAAGCUGGCAGGAGGGUGACACAGAUGAAGGCUACUGUUGUGUCUUCCUCUGUGUGGUUGUGAUUUCUGGUGAUGUUCUGUACAUUUGCAAGGAACAUAAAGAUACUUGGAUUUCUAAGGCUGUAAAAUACUUUUCACUGGGAGGGGUGAGCACGGGCUGAUGAAGAAAUGCAGUCCUGUGAAAAGAUGCCAAAAGUGGCUAUGACAACUCUUUACCAAAAGAGCCCUGUUUGGACCCUGGCGUGCCAGGAGGAACCAGCUCAGCAGGCCCAGCCUGACACAGGGAGUGAUAUGGGGAAAUCCUACAGACCCUUCCCCUGAUGUCAACCCCUGCCUGAGCAGGACUCAGGGACAGUUUUACUUCCCAGCUCAUCUCAGCCCAACAGCCUAUGUCUUGAGUAGUCCCAAAGAGUCAGCUGGGGCAGCAUCCUGCUGGCAGGACCUGCAGCUCUGGCUGCUUUGAAGGAAAAUGCAGCUUCCUCAAGGGGACACUAUUCCUGCCUCCAGUUUGUGGUCGGCUUGAAGACUUGAAGCCUGAGAGCUGAUGAACCUUGUCAUUUCAUCUCAACUGACAGUGCUGCAGAUGCUCAAAUGAGGUCGAUGCUGGAUCUUUGUUUAAAACUUGCCUGCGUGCUUUACCUCCCUGAUGGCUGAUGGCUCUCACAGGUCACAGAAAUCAUCUGCCACAGUGAUACUCAACCUGUGCCUCCCAUGCCUCAGUGCAUCUCCUGCAGCCUGGCAGUAGCUCCCCUCACAUCUGCUGUUUGUGAAGCAGGCAGGGAGCUGAUCACAGGAGGCUGCGGGGGAGAACAACGCCAGGCAGGAGAAGUCACGCUUGCCUCUGCUUCUGUUACAGCCAAGAAGGAAGAGAAACAUGCUCCUUCCCCUCAGGCAGUGGAAUAAAAAGAAACCACAGAGGACCACAAAACCAUCACAGGACAACAUCUGCAAACGCUGUGCACUGCCUCGAACAGGCUGGGACACAAGCACGUGAAGAUAACCCUGUGUGGCAACUUCGCAUCAGUUGUUCUGCAGUUUGCUUUCACAUGAGGGGAAUUAAAUGGAUGCUGACACAGGAUCAGAGCCAACAGAAUUAUGUUUUCAAAGGGAAAAAUCCCCACAUAAUAUGUCACAGACAUGUCUCUUCUCACACAGCUCCCACCCCAGACAGUGCUCUCCCUCCAAGCGGGGAGCAAGCAGGAGUACCUGGAAGCUACCUUUGUGCACCUGAGGCACCUAGUUUUAUUAAGCCAAGCUUUCUUAAAGAGGAAGUGAGAGCCCAGCUAGGAAAAGCUUUUCUUAGGCUAUGAUUUUUCAGAUCCUUUGUUUCUCUUUAAAGUCUUACUAAGAAAAAAAAAUGAAAUCCAGAGGUUUUAUUUCUAUUUAGAGCAUUUUGAGUUUAAAAUAAGCCUUCAACCUGAUCCUAGCAAGAAGCAGGCCACACCAGUAGCUGAUGGAGAAAACCAGAGGAACAUGCUUUCCCAGCCUAUACCCAUUACAGGUAUGUGGUUGUUUCUCUUUCUGUAAAUCAAGCCCUGGACAGGGUUUUCUAAGGGCUGGUUGAUCAUGUAUUUCUAGAGCUUGCAAAACGGACAAAGAUAAAAGUGGGGAUUAUCCAUUGCUUUGAAGGAUAAAUAUAGAAGUAGUAUAAA